rnacentral:lncRNA from 1 species
UCAUUUUCAUAUUAAUGGAAAUCCUAAUUAAUAUAAUUAAUGGCCAAAUAUUUCUUUAGUAUAUGCCAAAUUUUUGGUGUAUAUACCUAAAAUUUGUAUAGCUGUACCUAGUGGAAAAUAUAUUUCUAGCUUCUUGAGUAAAGUUCACAUUGUUUUCUAUGUCUACAUAAUAAAAUAAUUAAUGUGUGUGUUGAUAUAUAUCACAUAUAUAUUUUAAAGUUCUAUAACCUCUGUUAUAUUUUCCUGAUGCUCAUCUCUAGUUGUUUGUUCCCUUCUGUUCUCCCAGUCAAGCUACUGAAAAUUACUGGGAGUUUUUGAUUGAAUACUUUCUUUUGUGUCUUUAAGAUGUACCAGGUAUUGAGACUGGGCCAAAUUAUAGGCCCUGUGAAGACUUGUUACCAAGUUUUAGGGUGCUCUUUCAGCCUAGCUAACUACUGUGCCUCUUUGCUUAAUGGGAUUAACUGAUUUUUUUUCUGAUUUCAAGAUUAUUGUCAUAUAUCACUAACUAUAUGAAACUUCCUUGAAUGAAUGAUCAUCACUUAAAGUUUCUUGUUUGAGUUUCUACAAUCCUUUCCUUUAU